UUCCGGUUGAUCCUGCCGGAGAUCACUGCUAUCGGGAUUCGAUUUAGCCAUGCGAGUCAAGGGGGUCCUCGGACCACCGGCAUAAUGCUCAGUAACACGUGGAUAAUCUACCCUCGGGAGGGGCAUAAGCUCGGGAAACUGAGUUUAAUUCCCCAUAACUAUCCGAUUGCUGGAAUGUGCGGAUGGUAAAAUGUUACAGCGCCCGAGGAUGAGUCUGCGGCCUAUCAGGUUGUAGUGAGUGUAACGGACUCACUAGCCGACGACGGGUACGGGCCUUGAGAGAGGUAACCCGGAGAUGGAUUCUGAGACACGAAUCCAGGCCCUACGGGGCGCAGCAGGCGCGAAAACUUCGCAAUGCGGGGAACCGCGACGAGGGAAUCCCGAGUGCCUACACAUUUGUGUAGGCUGUUUAUGUGCCUAAAAAGCACGUAGAGUAAGAGCUGGGUAAGACCGGUGCCAGCCGCCGCGGUAAUACCGGCAGCUCGAGUGGUGGUCAUUUUUACUGGGCCUAAAGCGUCCGUAGCCGGUUGAGUAAAUCCCUGGGUAAAUCGUACCGCUUAACGGUACGACUUCCGGGGACACUGCUCGACUUGGGACCGGGAGAGGUUGGAGGUACUCCAGGGGUAGGGGUGAAAUCCUGUAAUCCUUGGGGGACCACCUGUGGCGAAGGCGUCCAA
rnacentral:rRNA from 1 species